GCAGGGAGCUGGAUGGGAAGCAGGGCCACUGGGAUUAGAACCGGCGUUUAUGUGGGAUCCCGGGUGCGUUCAAGGAGAGGUCUUUAGCCUCUAGGCCCCGCUGCCGGGCCUAACAGUGUGUUUUAU